rnacentral:rRNA from 1 species
GAUGAACGCUGGCGGCGUGCUUAACACAUGCAAGUCGAACGAAGCACUUUAUUUGAUUUCCUUCGGGACUGAUUAUUUUGUGACUGAGUGGCGGACGGGUGAGUAACGCGUGGGUAGCCUGCCUUGUACAGGGGGAUAACAGUUGGAAACGGCUGCUAAUACCGCAUAAGCGCACAGCAUCGCAUGAUGCAGUGUGAAAAACUCCGGUGGUAUAAGAUGGACCCGCGUUGGAUUAGCUAGUUGGUGAGGUAACGGCCCACCAAGGCGACGAUCCAUAGCCGACCUGAGAGGGUGACCGGCCACAUUGGGACUGAGACACGGCCCAAACUCCUACGGGAGGCAGCAGUGGGGAAUAUUGCACAAUGGGCGAAAGCCUGAUGCAGCGACGCUGCGUGAGCGAAGAAGUAUUUCGGUAUGUAAAGCUCUAUCAGCAGGGAAGAUAAUGACGGUACCUGACUAAGAAGCACCGGCUAAAUACGUG